rnacentral:tRNA from 1 species
GCCUGGGGGGCUUAGUUGGUUAAGCGUCCGACUUCUGCUUGGGUCAUGAUCUCAUGGUUCAUGGGUUCGAGCCCCACAUCAGGCU